rnacentral:snRNA from 1 species
AUUUAGAUAACUCCUAAAGAGAU